UACGUAGGGGGCAAGCGUUGUCCGGAUUUAUUGGGCGUAAAGAGCGUGUAGGCGGCUGGGUAGGUCCGUUGUGAAAACUCGAGGCUCAACCUCGAGACGCCGAUGGAAACCCUCCAGCUAGAGUCCGGAAGAGGAGAGUGGAAUUCCUGGUGUAGCGGUGAAAUGCGCAGAUAUCAGGAAGAACACCCGUGGCUAAGGCGGCUCUCUAGUACGGUACUGACGCUGAGACGCGAAAGCCAGGGGAGCAAACGGG
rnacentral:rRNA from 1 species